rnacentral:rRNA from 1 species
GACAGAGGGGGCAAGCGUUGCUCGGAAUCACUGGGCGUAAAGGGCGCGUAGGCGGGAUGGCAAGUCGGUCGUGAAAUCCUUCGGCUCAACCGAAGAACGUCGGCCGAUACUGCCGUUCUUGAGGGAUGCAGAGGAGAUUGGAAUUCCCGGUGUAGCGGUGAAAUGUGUAGAGAUCGGGAGGAACACCGGUGGCGAAGGCGGGUCUCUGGGCCACUACUGACGCUGAGAAGCGAAAGCGUGGGGAGCGAACAGG